rnacentral:rRNA from 1 species
UCAGGAUGAACGCUAGCGGCAGGCUAACACAUGCAAGUCGAGGGGCAGCGGGAUGUAGCAAUACAUGCCGGCGACCGGCGGAUGGGUGCGUAACGCGUAUGCAACCUACCUUAUACAGGGGAAUAACCUUUCGAAAGGGAGACUAACACCCCAUGGUAUUGAUUUAAGGCAUCUUAGAUUAAUUAAAUAUUUAUAGGUAUAAGAUGGGCAUGCGUAUGAUUAGCUAGUUGGUAAGGUAACGGCUUACCAAGGCGACGAUCAUUAGGGGUUCUGAGAGGAAGGUCCCCCACACUGGUACUGAGACACGGACCAGACUCCUACGGGAGGCAGCAGUGAGGAAUAUUGGUCAAUGGGCGCAAGCCUGAACCAGCCAUGCCGCGUGCAGGAAAAGACGGCCUUAUGGGUUGUAAACUGCUUUUACAUAAGACUAACCGUAUAUUUGCGAAUAUACCUGAAUGUAUUAUGAGAAUAAGGAUCGGCUAACUCCGUGCCAGCAGCGGC